UAGGUACAACGGAUUCCGGCGGGCAGAGC
rnacentral:piRNA from 1 species